UGAGGAAUAUUGGUCAAUGGACGAGAGUCUGAACCAGCCAAAUCGCGUGAAGGAAGACUGCCCUACGGGUUGUAAACUUCUUUUGUACAGGAAUAAAAGACAUUACGUGUAAUGUAUUGCAUGUACUGUACGAAUAAGCAUCGGCUAACUCCGUGCCAGCAGCCGCGGUAAUACGGAGGAUGCGAGCGUUAUCCGGAUUUAUUGGGUUUAAAGGGUGCGCAGGCGGGAUUUUAAGUCAGCGGUGAAAUUUUCAGGCUCAACCUGAACACUGCCGUUNAAACUGGGAUUCUUGAGUAUGGAUGAUGUAGGCGGAAUUCGUUGUGUAGCGGUGACAUGCUUAGAUAUAACGCGGAACUCCGAUUGCGUAGGCAGCUUACUAAGCCAUAACUGACGCUCAAGCACGAAAGCGUGGGGAUCAAAC
rnacentral:rRNA from 1 species